rnacentral:rRNA from 1 species
AUACGGAGGAUGCGAGCGUUAUCCGGAUUUAUUGGGUUUAAAGGGAGCGUAGGUGGGAUAUUAAGUCAGCUGUGAAAGUUUGGGGCUCAACCUUAAAAUUGCAGUUGAUACUGGUUUCCUUGAGUACGGUACAGGUGGGCGGAAUUCGUGGUGUAGCGGUGAAAUGCUUAGAUAUCACGAAGAACUCCGAUCGCGAAGGCAGCUCACCGGGCCGGAACUGACACUGAUGCUCGAAAGUGCGGGUAUCAAACAGGAUUAGAUACCCUGGUAGUCCGCACAGUAAACGAUGAAUACUCGCUGUUUGCGAUACACGGUAAGCGGCCAAGCGAAAGCGUUAAGUACUCCACCUGGGGAGUACGCCGGCAACGGUGAAACUCAAAGGAAUUGACGGGG